rnacentral:rRNA from 1 species
GACGAACGCUGGCGGCGUGCUUAACACAUGCAAGUCGAACGGAAAGGCCCUGCUUUUGUGGGGUGCUCGAGUGGCGAACGGGUGAGUAACACGUGAGUAACCUGCCCUUGACUUUGGGAUAACUUCAGGAAACUGGGGCUAAUACCGGAUAGGAGCUCCUGCUGCAUGGUGGGGGUUGGAAAGUUUCGGCGGUUGGGGAUGGACUCGCGGCUUAUGAGCUUGUUGGUGGGGUAGUGGCUUACCAAGGCUUUGACGGGUAGCCGGCCUGGGAGGGUGACCGGCGUCAUUGGGCCUGAGAGACGGCCCAGAGUCCUACGGGGGGCAGCAGUGGGGAAUAUGGCACAAUGGGCGGAAGCCUGAGGCGGCAACGCCGCGUGCGGGAUGACGGCCUUCGGGGUAUAAACCGCAUCAGCCUGUGACGAAGCGGGAGUGACGGUAAUGGGUAAAGAAGCACCGGCUAACUACGUG